GCUACACUUCACUGUUGAACUUAACCAAGGCUUUUCUUAUCCUGCUUUCAAGAAAAGUGCUUUCUCAUUCUGGUGCUAAAAGCAUCCAAGGUCUUCUUCCCAGAUGCUGCUUCUUUUGUCUCUUUCUCCCGAUGCAUCAAUUAAGAAUUCUUUGAUGACCGGAGCUUCCUCUGUCAGAGAGCUCAGUAUUCAUCAACUAAUUAACUCUCCAAAGAAAGCUGAGCUGCUCUGUCUGUCUGUGCUUUCUUACUCUCUCGGUGGCUCUUCUGCUUCCUGCUUCCUGCUGUGGCCCGAAGAGCAAAGUGGGGAGAUCACCCUCAGGGGCUGUAGGGCCUCAGGCUUCAGUUCAUGCUUUUGUUUUUCUAGUUAGGAGAGACCUUCCUUGAUAAAAAGCUAUUCAUUUCAUUACUCAGCCUUCCACAGAAGCAAGGUGAAUAAUACCAUAUUUCUUCCAAGUUCAACUGCCUGCUGGACUCCUCUGCUUGGGGCCCUCAUAGACACCCCAUAGUCAAGUAAUGAAAACCCAGCACUUGGAAGAUGUCAGCAUUCUUCAUACCAGAGAAGACCACCUGAGGCCAGACUAAAGGAACUGGAGAAGCUCAUCAAGAUUACCUGGGACCACAUGUAGGGAAUGCAGAUCCUGUGCUGCUUGCCUCUCAUUUCCGUAAGGAUGUGUGGCCAAGUUCAUUGUCCUGUAGAGGCUCCGAUCGUGUCACACCCAACAUCCAAUCUGCUUUCCUGUGACCUACAGACUAAAGGCAGACACCUCAAAUCACUUCCUGCCCUACUGGAUGUAAACAAAUACAAACACAACACAAACCAGCUGAGAAGCAAACUCCCCCAGAUCAAUCUAUGCCUGGCCCCAGUACAACUUCCCCCAGCUCUUGUUCAGACUCGCUUCCAAUAGAACUGAACUGCAGGGUGCUCCUGCGAUGAGAGCACAUUCUUAACUCCAUAAGCUUGUGCUAUUCUCUUCACCUGGGGUUCUCUUUUCCCUUGUCUACACAUAUAGUCCUACAAAUCUGUAUUAGUUUGCUAGGGCUGCUGUAACAAAGUGCUGCAAACUGGUUGACUUAGAACAACAGAAAUUUAUCGUUUUUAUAACGAUAACCGAAUUCCCAGUUCUGGAAGC
ensembl:lncRNA